rnacentral:tRNA from 1 species
CAAGGAGUAGUUUAAUUAGAAUAUCAGCUUUGGGAGUUGAUGGUGGGGUUAGUGUAGUACUUCCUCCUUGA